UUCAAGCCUCGUCAACUGGUGAGUUUUGCGUUUAUCUCCAACUGUGAACAAUAGACCUCAGAUUGGUUAUGUCCAUAGUAAUAAUGUCGAUAAUAAUAUAAUCGUUCUUACUACGUGAUGUUCUCGGUGUAAAAACAAAGAUAAGUGAUUUCAUUGUAAACACAAAAGUGCAUUUAACAAAGUUUUAAAAUACUUGUUGUUUUGCCAUCCGAACUCGUCCUACAAAAUGGCUGUUAAAAACCACUGUUGCGAGUUAUCUGAGCGACUUUUACCGCUUGAACGAGCAUUUUAAUAUCUUUUACUUUUUUUUUUUUUUUAAACACAAGUUUGCAAAAUUCACGAAUCUGCGGCCGAUUGGACACUGCUGUUACACGCAAAAAGUCACCAGUUAACGUGAAAACCAGAAAACCCGCCAAGUCACGCAGGAUUCGUCGCUUCAGUGUGGUUCUGUGGAAUCUUUCAUCAUCUUCAUUGCUUCUGUGGUUGCUGCAGGUUUUUUUUAUCAGCUAUUAUCUGCAGAUAAUCUUGCAGCUCACGGACUGGCAGGCUUUGUACAGUCAUUUCGUUCUGAGUAUGUGUGCAGAUUCUGUCUGGCAACUCAAGACCAGUUUAAAUCGCAGGAAGUUGCUGAGGGUGAAUUCAGUCUGAGAACUAAGCAUAAAAGGCCAGUUGCUGUUGACACCAAAGCGAUUUCUACCAUUACAAUAAGAUGGCGGAAUCCCAGAAACUUGUACUGAGAGUUUACAUUGCUCCUGACAUUGCCCACAAGAUGACCCUUUCUACACGCCCAAGUACAGUAGAAGAGUUGAUUACAGUGAUUAAAGAGAAAUUCAGACCUCGUCUUGAUUUUGAUUUCAGCCUCCAAUAUGAAGACCCAGACUUUGGGGGGGAACUCUGCUUUCUAACAGACAUUUCAGAACUGCCGGAGAAAGCUGUAUUGAAAGUACACAGAUCUGAGACUGAAGCCAGCUCAACUGCAACUUCAGACACCGAAAUACUUCCUUAUAACCC